rnacentral:lncRNA from 1 species
AUGAUAUUUUCAUUGCUCGGGUCGUCACAUUUGAAUUAUUCAAGAUUGUUCCUCUACAAUGUGUAUAAUGUAUGUUGUGUUUUGAUAAAAUCGCAGGGGCUGACCGAGAAGUUUAAGGAGAAGGAUACGGUGUUAUCAGGCUCAGCUACUUUCAAUUACGAGAACUUCAUGCUCACUGUUUUACCAUUCCUUGUCGCUUGAGUGAUUGUUUUCUUUUCUUUUUUUUUGGACAGAAGAGUGAUUGUUUUCUAACUCUCUUUUCUUUGUGAGCUUUUGGAUUUUUUAU